rnacentral:rRNA from 1 species
CGGUAAUACGAAGGGGGCUAGCGUUGCUCGGAAUUACUGGGCGUAAAGGGAGCGUAGGCGGACAUUUAAGUCAGAGGUGAAAUCCCGGAGCUUAACUUCGGAACUGCCUUUGAUACUGGGUGUCUUGAGUGUGAGAGAGGUAUGUGGAACUCCGAGUGUAGAGGUGAAAUUCGUAGAUAUUCGGAAGAACACCAGUGGCGAAGGCGACAUACUGGCUCAUUACUGACGCUGAGGCUCGAAAGCGUGGGGAGCAAACAGGAUUAGAUACCCUGGUAGUCCACGCCGUAAACGAUGAUUGCUAGUUGUCGGGAAGCUUGCUUCUCGGUGACGCAGCUAACGCAUUAAGCAAUCCGCCUGGGGAGUACGGUCGCAAGAUUAAA